rnacentral:rRNA from 1 species
CCUGGUAGUCCGCACGGUAAACGAUGGAUGCCCGUUCUUCGUUCUUUUGGAUGAGGGACCAAGCGAAAGCAUUAAGCAUCCCACCUGGGGAGUACGCCGGCAACGGUGAAACUCAAAGGAAUUGACGGGGGCCCGCACAAGCGGAGGAACAUGUGGUUUAAUUCGAUGAUACGCGAGGAACCUUACCCGGGCUUGAAUUGCAGAGGAAAGAUCCAGAGAUGGUGAUGCCCUUCGGGGUCUCUGUGAAGGU